rnacentral:lncRNA from 1 species
CCUGACCUUGUGUGGCGGAAGCUUAUGCGCAUUCCCUGUUGCGAGGAGUUUGGAUCUGGUCGAUGAUACAUGUCUAGCAUGGGCUUGUGCUUGUGUUGAGGCUGGAGAUGAGCGCUGUGCUCCAACGUGCUAAUGAUCGGAUGUUGCACUCUGAGGGCAAUGUCAUUCGGUUGUAUUGCUUGAGGUGGUGUGGCGGAAAGUUCUUAGCACGGGAGUUCGCAUCCUACCGA